AACGAACGCUGGCGGCAGGCCUAAAACAUGCAAGUCGAACGAACCUUCGGGUUAGUGGCGCACGGGUGCGUAACGCGUGGGAAUAUACCUCUGGGUGCGGAACAACGUCUGGAAACGGACGCUGAUACCGCAUAAUAUCUACGGAUCAAAGAUUUAUCGCCCAGAGAUUAGCCCGCGUCUGAUCAGCUAGUUGGUGAGGUAAUGGCUCACCAAGGCGACGAUCAGUAGCUGGUCUGAGAGGAUGAUCAGCCACACUGGAACUGAGACACGGUCCAGACUCCUACGGGAGGCAGCAGUUGGGAAUAUUGGACAAUGGGGGAAACCCUGAUCCAGCCAUGCCGCGUGAGUGAAGAAGGCCUCAGGGUUGUAAAGCUCUUUCGGCUGUGAAGAUAAUGACAGUAGCAGAAGAAGAAGCUCCGGCUAAAUUCGUGCCAGCAGCCGCCGUAA
rnacentral:rRNA from 1 species